AAACCGACACAGGUGGGUGAGGAGAGUAUCCUAAGGCCCGCGAGAGAACUGUUGUUAAGGAACUCGGCAAAAUGACCCCGUAACUUAGGGAUAAGGGGUGCCACCAUCCGGUGGCCGCAGAGAAUAGGCCCAAGCGACUGUUUACCAAACACAUAGGUUUCUGCUAAGUCGCAAGACGAUGUAUAGGAGCUGACGCCUGCCCGGUGCUGGAAGGUUAAGGGGAUCUGUUAGAGCAAUCGAAGCAGUGAACUUAAGCCCCAGUAAACGGCGGCCGUAACUAUAACGGUCCUAAGGUAGCGAAAUUCCUUGUCGGGUAAGUUCCGACCCGCACGAAAGGCGUAACGAUUUGGGCACUGUCUCA
rnacentral:rRNA from 1 species